AACGUAGGUGGCAAGCGUUAUCCGGAUUUACUGGGCGUAAAGGGUGUGCAGGCGGGCGGUCAAGUGGUGUAUGAAAUAUCCUGGCUCAACCAGGAGAGGUUAUGCCAGACUGACCGUCUUGAGUGCGAGAGAGGGGCGUGGAAUUCCGGGUGUAGUGGUGAAAUGCGUAGAGAUCCGGAGGAACCCCAGAGGCGAAGGCGGCGCCCUGGCUCGCAACUGACGCUCAUACACGACAGCGUGGGGAUCAAACAGG
rnacentral:rRNA from 1 species